rnacentral:rRNA from 1 species
GAUGAACGCUGGCGGCGUGCCUAAUACAUGCAAGUAGAACGCUGAAGGAGGAGCUUCUCUUCUGGAUGAGUUGCGAACGGGUGAGUAACGCGUAGGUAACCUGCCUGGUAGCGGGGGAUAACUAUUGGAAACGAUAGCUAAUACCGCAUGACAACAGUUAUUGCAUGAUAACUGUUUAAAAGGGGCAACUGCUCCACUACCAGAUGGACCUGCGUUGUAUUAGCUAGUUGGUGAGGUAACGGCUCACCAAGGCGACGAUACAUAGCCGACCUGAGAGGGUGAUCGGCCACACUGGGACUGAGACACGGCCCAGACUCCUACGGGAGGCAGCAGUAGGGAAUCUUCGGCAAUGGACGGAAGUCUGACCGAGCAACGCCGCGUGAGUGAAGAAGGUUUUCGGAUCGUAAAGCUCUGUUGUAAGAGAAGAACGAGUGUGAGAGUGGAAAGUUCACACUGUGACGGUAUCUUACCAGAAAGGGACGGCUAACUACGUG